rnacentral:rRNA from 1 species
GAUGAACGCUGGCGGCGUGCUUAACACAUGCAAGUCGAGCGAGAAGUUUUGAAAAGAUUCUUCGGAUGAAAUUUAAAAUGGAAAGCGGCGGACGGGUGAGUAACGCGUAGGCAACCUGCCCCAUACAAAGGGAUAGCAUUUGGAAACGAAUAUUAAUACCUUAUGAAACUUAACUAGUGCAUGCUAGGUAGGUCAAAGAUUUAUCGGUAUGGGAUGGGCCUGCGUCUGAUUAGCUAGUUGGUGAGGUAACGGCUCACCAAGGCGACGAUCUGUAGCCGACCUGAGAGGGUGAACGGCCACAUUGGAACUGAGACACGGUCCAAACUCCUACGGGAGGCAGCAGUGGGGAAUAUUGCACAAUGGGGGAAACCCUGAUGCAGCAACGCCGCGUGAACGAUGAAGGCCUUUGGGUCGUAAAGUUCUGUUCUAGGUGAUGAAAACUGACAGUAACCUAGGAGAAAGCCCCGGCUAACUCCGUG